UACAGGGGGUGCAAACGUUGCUCGGAAUCAUUGGGCGUAAAGCGCACGUAGGCGGUCUGUUAUGUCGGAUGUGAAAGCCCUUGGCUUAACUGAGGAAGUGCAUCCGAAACUGGCAGGCUAGAGUACUAAAGAGGGUCGUGGAAUUCCGGGUGUAGUGGUGAAAUGCGUAGAGAUCCGGAGGAACACCAGUGGCGAAGGCGACACACUGGGCCAUACCUGACGCUAAAGCGCGACAGCAUGGGGAGCAAACGGG
rnacentral:rRNA from 1 species